rnacentral:rRNA from 1 species
AUUGAACGCUGGCGGCAGGCUUAACACAUGCAAGUCGAGCGAGCGGCGGACGGGUGAGUAAUGUAUGGGACACUGCCUGAUGGAGGGGGUCAACUACUGGAAACGGUAGCUAAUACCGCAUACCAUCAGAUGUGCCCGGAUGGGAUUAUCUAGUAGGUGGGGUAAUGGCCCACCUAGGCGACGAUCCCGAGCUGGUCGGAGAGGAUGACCAGCCACACUGGAACUGAGACACGGUCCAGACUCCGACGGGAGGCAGCAGUGGGGAAUAUUGGACAAUGGGCGAAAGCCUGAUGCAGCCAUGCCGCGUGUAUGAAGAAGGCCUUCGGGUUGUAAAGUACUUUAAGCGGGGAGGCGUUACCAGCAGAAGAAGCACCGGCUAACUCCGUGCCAGCAGCCGCGGUAAUAC